rnacentral:rRNA from 1 species
UACAGAGGGUGCGAGCGUUAAUCGGAAUUACUGGGCGUAAAGCGUGCGUAGACGGUUAUUUAAGUCGGAUGUGAAAGCCCCGGGCUCAACCUGGGAAUUGCAUUCGAGACUGAAUAGCUAGGGUACGGUAGAGGGAAGUGGAAUUUCCGGUGUAGCGGUGAAAUGCGUAGAUAUCGGAAGGAACAUCAGUGGCGAAAGCGACUUCCUGGACCAGAACCGGCGUUCAGGCACGAAAGCGUGGGGAGCAAACAGG